CUCCCCGUAGAGCAAUGGAUAGCGCGUUGGACCUCUAAUCCAAAGUUCGUAGGUUUCGAAUGCCACCUGGGAUU